UACGUAGGGUGCGAGCGUUAAUCGGAAUUACUGGGCGUAAGCGUGCGCAGGCGGUUUGUAAGCCAGAUGUGAAAUCCCCGGGCUUAACCUGGGAAUGGCAUUUGGGACUGCAAGGCUUGAGUGCGGCAGAGGAGACUGGAAUCCUGGUGUAGCAGUGAAAUGCGUAGAUAUCAGGAGGACACCGAUGGCGAAGGCAGGUCUCUGGGCUGACACUGACG
rnacentral:rRNA from 1 species